UACAGAGGGUGCGAGCGUUAAUCGGAAUUACUGGGCGUAAAGCGUGCGUAGACGGUUAUUUAAGUCGGGUGUGAAAGCCCCGGGCUCAACCCCAAAACUGCAUUCGAUACUGCCGUGCUUGAAGGCUGAAGAGGAGAUUGGAAUUCACGGUGUAGCAGUGAAAUGCGUAGAUAUCGGAAGGAACAUCAGUGGCGAAAGCGACUUCCUGGACCAAUACUGACGCUCAUGUGCGAAAGCGUGGGGAGCAAACAGG
rnacentral:rRNA from 1 species